AUUGAACGCUGGCGGCAGGCCUAACACAUGCAAGUCGAGCGGAGCGGCGGACGGGUGAGUAAUGCCUAGGAAUCUGCCUGGUAGUGGGGGAUAACGUUCGGAAACGGGCGCUAAUACCGCAUACUAUCAGAUGAGCCUAGGUCGGAUUAGCUAGUUGGUGGGUUAAAGGCUCACCAAGGCGACGAUCCGUAACUGGUCUGAGAGGAUGAUCAGUCACACUGGAACUGAGACACGGUCCAGACUCCUACGGGAGGCAGCAGUGGGGAAUAUUGGACAAUGGGCGAAAGCCUGAUCCAGCCAUGCCGCGUGAGUGAAGAAGGUCUUCGGAUUGUAAAGCACUUUAAGUUGGGAGGCGGUACCAACAGAAUAAGCACCGGCUAACUACGUGCCAGCAGCCGCGGUAAUUC
rnacentral:rRNA from 1 species